CAAGUCGAGCGAGAACCAGGGCUUCGGCUCUGGGGACAGCGGCGAACGGGUGAGUAACACGUGGGUAAUCCACCCUCGGCACCGGAAUAGCCCGGGGAAACCCGGAUUAAUGCCGGAUGGCCCGUCGACCCUUCGGGGCUGACGGAAAAGGUAGCUUCGGCCUCCGGCCGGGGACGAGCCCGCGACGGAUUAGCUUGUUGGUGGGGUAACGGCCUACCAAGGCUCCGAUCCGUAGCUGGUCUGAGAGGACGAUCAGCCACACUGGGACUGAGACACGGCCCAGACUCCUACGGGAGGCAGCAGUGGGGAAUCUUGCGCAAUGGGCGAAAGCCUGACGCAGCGACGCCGCGUGAGGGAAGAAGGCCUUCGGGUUGUAAACCUCUUUCAGGAGGGACGAAGCCACUCGGGUUAAUAGCCCAGAGGGUGACGGUACCUCCAGAAGAAGCCCCGGCUAACUACGUGCCAGCAGCCGCGGUAAUACGUAGGGGGCAAGCGUUGUCCGGAUUUAUUGGGCGUAAAGAGCGUGUAGGCGGCCAGGUAGGUCUGCUGUGAAAACUCGAGGCUUAACCUCGAGCUGUCGGCGGAAACCAUCUGGCUAGAGUCCGGAAGAGGAGAAUGGAAUUCCCGGUGUAGCGGUGAAAUGCGCAGAUAUCGGGAAGAACACCCGUGGCGAAGGCGGUUCUCUGGGACGGUACUGACGCUGAGACGCGAAUG
rnacentral:rRNA from 1 species